rnacentral:rRNA from 1 species
GUAGGUGGCAAGCGUUGUCCGGAAUUAUUGGGCGUAAAGCGCGCGCAGGCGGUCCUUUAAGUCUGAUGUGAAAGCCCACGGCUCAACCGUGGAGGGUCAUUGGAAACUGGGGGACUUGAGUACAGAAGAGGAAAGCGGAAUUCCAAGUGUAGCGGUGAAAUGCGUAGAGAUUUGGAGGAACACCAGUGGCGAAGGCGGCUUUCUGGUCUGUAACUGACGCUGAGGCGCGAAAGCGUGGGGAGCAAACAGGGAUUAGAUACCCUGGUAGCCCACGCCGUAAACGAUGAGUGCUAAGUGUUAGGGGGUUUCCCGCCCCUUAGUGCUGCAGCUAACGCAUUAAGCACUCCGCCUGGGGAGUACGGCCGCAAGGCUG